AAAGUAAGCCUUAUUUUAAGAGUACCCAUACUGGUAAAUCUGCUGUUGUCAGAAUACAUUUUUACAUGUCAUAGAGAUACCAAAACCCCUGAAAACCCUGUUGGCCAUAUAGACACUUAAGUAAGGUGGACAGCUCUGUAAUGUAGACAGUUACAACUGGUCCUAAGAAUGUAAACAAAUUUGUUGUGCAUUUCCAUUUUGACCAGGUCUUACCAAUGGUCAAGCAUCUUCAUUUUCCUGGCAGAGCCACCUAUCCACGGGACAGUCUUCAUCUCUGCAGCAUGACACCUCUUCUAGCUUGGACAUCAUAGCUAACAAUCUGACGAAGGAAGUGACCAAUGGCAGACAGGAACAAGGCGUGGAUGAAGUCGAGUUCAUGUCGUCAUCAUCAUCAUCGUCUUCUAGUGACAGCCCAUAAUACUAACUUUGUAUAAAAUAAAUAUUACAGUAAAUAAACCUCCUUCAAAUUGACUGA